UACGGGGGGAGCAAGCGUUGUUCGGAUUUACUGGGCGUAAAGGGCGCGUAGGCGGCCAGCACAAGUCAGUUGUGAAAUCUCCGAGCUUAACUCGGAAAGGUCAACUGAUACUGUGCGGCUAGAGUGCAGAAGGGGCAACUGGAAUUCUUGGUGUAGCGGUGAAAUGCGUAGAUAUCAAGAGGAACACCUGCGGCGAAGGCGGGUUGCUGGGCUGACACUGACGCUGAUGCGCGAAAGCGUGGGGAGCGAACAGG
rnacentral:rRNA from 1 species